ACAGCAGCGGCGGGCGCGGUCGGUGCCACCGGUUCGGGCUCGGCGCUCAACAGCACGGCGGUGAUGGUUCGCGGUUCGACAGGCCGCUCGACUGUUC
rnacentral:tRNA from 1 species